GGAGAGGUGCCGGAGCGGUUGAACGGGGCGCUCUCGAAAAGCGUUAUUCUAUUAAAACAGAAUCCAGGGUUCGAAUCCCUGCCUCUCCGCCA
rnacentral:tRNA from 1 species